rnacentral:rRNA from 1 species
UAACAAGGAUUCCCCUAGUAACUGCGAGUGAAGCGGGAAAAGCUCAAAUUUAAAAUCUGGCGGUCUCGCGGCCGUCCGAGUUGUAGUCUGGAGAAGUGCUUUCCGCGCUGGACCGUGUACAAGUCUCUUGGAACAGAGCGUCGUAGAGGGUGAGAAUCCCGUCUUUGACACGGACUGCCAGUGCUUUGUGAUGCGCUCUCGAAGAGUCGAGUUGUUUGGGAAUGCAGCUCAAAACGGGUGGUAAAUUCCAUCUAAAGCUAAAUAUUGGCGAGAGACCGAUAGCGAACAAGUACCGUGAGGGAAAGAUGAAAAGCACUUUGGAAAGAGAGUUAAACAGUACGUGAAAUUGCUGAAAGGGAAACGCUUGAAGUCAGUCGCGUCGUCCGGAACUCAGCCUCGCCUUCGCGGGGUGCAUUUUCCGUUCGACGGGCCAGCAUCAAUUUUGACCGUCGGAGAAAGGCGAGGGGAAUGUGGCAUCUUCGGAUGUGUUAUAGCCCCCCGUCAGACGCGGCGGUCGGGAUUGAGGAUCGGGCGCUCGUCGCUUUGGAUGCUGGCGUAAUGGCUUUAAUCGAC